CUUUUUUUUAGCAGAUCUGUCUAUAUAAGGUUUUGAAGUUGCUUUUUGUGGAUUACAGGACACGCUGACUGCCAGUCACCUGUUGAACCAACUAAAUAUACAACAGUUAUUUUCUCUUGUCUCUGCAAUCUUCCCAGCUCCAAUUUAAAAACAUGGGGAACGAGACUUCACGCUCAAAUACCCACGUGGCCAACGCAACCGGGAAGCAUCUUCGGAUUUUCUAUGGAGUGGAUACAAUGAGGCUGGAAGAAAUGGUGAUAAAUGUGGGAGCAGGGAUAGAAGGUAAAGCAUCAAAAACUGAAAAAUCAGUAUCAGGGCACAUUUCCACCGAUGUGAAGAUGGUUUUUAAACCAGACUCCCGGAUCCGUUACAUUCACCUGCCGCAGAACGAGACAUGUAACUUUGCCGGGGAAGGCACCAUCUAUGCCUCUGUCCUUUUGGAAGAUGAAAAAGACGAAAAAACUUGCAGUGGGGUCAUCUGCCAAAAUUUCCAUGUCCCCAGCGACAGGUCUUUUAUCGUUACUGCCAAUCAUACCAUCAAAUUGCAGAAGUAUGGUGCAAGCCUUUGGAUUGAUGAAGAGGGCCAUAACCAUCGACGUUAACUACCACAACAACCACACAUAACAACCACAAACAUCCUCUUUAUCCUCCUCCAUUAUCCAAUUUGAUAAGGUUUAUUUGAAUAUUAACAGUUUAGAUCAGUGGUUCCCAGCUUUUUUGACUCCAAGACACAUAAAAGCAGAGCUCAUACGUAGUUCUUAUGGAACGAGAAACCAAGCUUCAUGGCAAAAGUACUAGUUCAAUAUUUGGAGUCGGUAUCAAAUUAGAAGCAUCCAUGAAUUUGGAAUACAAGUACCAAGAGAUUGUCUGUUAAACACAUCAACAAAUUCUAAUGUUCCAUAGCUUAACAAAACUUGCAAUAUGAAAUAAACUUCACAUUUUGCGAGGGAAAUGUUUUAUAUUGUUAUGUGUAACGAUUAAUGCAGAGUGCAUGCAUACACAAUGUUAUUCUGCUAAUAAAUUCCUGUAGGCCUAUUAACUUUGUAACAGCUGAAAUAAAAGUUUGAAUGGGAACGUUUACAUUAGAUCUAAAUAAAAAGUCUAGUGAAACUAUUUUGGGUGGCGGUGCUACAAAACUCAUGAAUAUUAUUUUAUGCACAAUAAAAAUUCUUUUAAAACCCCUUUUUUCGAUAAACAGUAAUUUUUAAAGACUGAUUAAGGGACUCAGAUAUUUCACAUAAUAUGGUAAUUAAAUCUCUACAUCUACCAUUAUCAGUCUUGGAAUUGUGUUAGGAGGAGAUUAACACAUACAGCAGAUAAAAAUCUUAAUUAAGAACAUGACUGAUUUGGUCUAGUGGUUAAUGUUUGUGUCUGGACUGCAGAGGUUCUGGUUUCUAAUUCAACCAAAUAUAACUUUUCAUGCUAAUAAACCAAGAUUGUGUCUGCACAUCAGUGGGUGGGUGUUAUACUUUAAAAAUAGAAUGCAAUAAAAGAUGCAGGGAGACAAGAUUAGCAGAAACACAUACACAUUUAUAGACCACCCCAGCAACGAGAAUCUGCACGAGAGCAUCGGUGACUAAAAUAACUACCUCACAAACACCUAUCUCCCAUCACACAGCCCAGCAAUGGAACACUCAGUUUAUAUAGGAAAGAAACACACUGUCUGCAGGGGCUCCCCAUUAACAAUCAGCUCGCCUGGUUACCCCACACCUGAUACUGAUUAAGAGAGAGCAAGACAAAGACAAAACUAGGGCUGCGCGACUAAUAGGGAGAUACAUCCACCAUCAGAUUUUAAGAACAGGUCAUUUGUUUCUCUAAAGGAGAACAGUCUCAGUACUAUGAUACGGUCUAAAUCCUGACUGGAAAUCCUCACAGAUACCAUUUAUCAAUAUUAAAUAUAUACCAAUAUAAGUAUCACUUGAUCAAAAGAGCCAUGCCACUUCAUGAUGUUCAUUCAUCACAAGUUAUUAUCAGGAAGAGUAAGCUCACCUGCUAGCUUCAAGGUUUGAAAGAUUUAAUUAGGUGUUAAAAGUGAAGUGAGUAAAGUGACAUCCAGCCAAGUAUGGUGACUGUAAAUGCACUUCCCCCACCUACAAUUCCUGCCGGCCCGAGACUCGAACUCACAACCUUUCGAUUGCCAGUCCGACUCUCUAACCAAUCAUCAUUUAUUCAGUGACUUAAUUAUCUCAUUAACUUUAACUCUUUAAGGACUUGGGAUAUGACUUGAAGACUGCUUGUAACUUGAAAGUCUCACCUCUGUCUUUUAGUAAUCCUGAAGACACUGAUUAGCGUGUUCAGGUGUGUUUGAUCAGGGUUGGAGCUAAACUCUGCAGGGCUUUUUUGCCCAUGCCUGAUAUAGACACACACCCUCUUUCAGCCAGAUUUUUCAUGUUGAAAAGCAUGCUUUUUUUAUAAUCCAAUCUGUGACUCAAAAUUCGUAAUACAAUCUAAACUGUGAGUUUUACAAUACAUUGCACCACUCAUGUCGGUACAAGCAUGACACCUUAGGCUGGAUUCCAUUUCAGUUUUUCUAAUUCUUUCAUUAUUUCCUGAUGAUAACGUUCACUUAUGUGCCAUGACUUGCCCUUGUAUACUGUAACUUGCAUAUCUUCUCAUAUCUGUGUCAGUUCCUCAUACACAACAAAAUACCUAGUGUCAAAUUAACAGAAUCACUGAAGGAAAGAAAAACACGACAACUACUCCUACAACUGACUUCUGCCACAGUCUUAAAAGAAAUCAACUGAAAUACAAGACAUUAAAUCUUUCAAUAGCUGAUUAAACAACCCCACAAACAGCAUCACUUGGUCUAGUUAUUAAAGGGAUACUCCACCAUUUUUUCAUAUUAAAUUAUGUUAUUCCCUUAACUAAGACGAGUUGAUAUAUACCUCUCUCGUCUCAGUGCGUGCACUAAAUCGCUCUGUCUUGCGGCAAAACUUUGUUAGCACUUUGCUUAGCCCAGUUCAUUCAAUCGGGGCCAAGCAGAGAUGCUACCAAACACCUCCAUGUUUUCCCUAUUUAAAUACAGUUACUCGAGUGGUGUAACUCGACCUAGGACAGUGACACACAAACAAAAUGUUGCACUUUUCUAAGCAUGUAAAAUGGAUAACUAUAUUGUAUGGCGGAAUACCAUAGCAAGUGCUCGGGAGCACUUUGACAUGGCGCAGUAAUAUCUUCACUCGUGAAAAGUCCUCUCACCGGCCCCCGCUCCUUCUCCUCCUCCCUCUCAUUUCUGUCAAUGGAACCAACGUGACUUUUACCACUUGUGCUAUUAGCAAACUGCAAAAGAUCAUUUGCAAUGGCGGACUUUGUAGAUGAUUAUGACUUGUUUGUAGCAGACCCAGAGCCAUAUCUGUUUGAACCAGAGUACACGGAGGAGGAAUUAGCUAUUAUGGACCGUGAGAGGGGAAAAAAAGAUAUGAACCAGAACAGACCGGAGCCGGCGAAAGAACAUGGGCAAACAGCAAUUGGUAGUGCAAGUGUGACUGUGGCGAACAGAUGCCGACCGAGAUUGAGAGCUUGUGCCGUUCAGAAUGGGACCAGGUGUUGCCAUCGAUGGUGGGGGUCAAUGUAGAUUCAGAAGACCUGGACAAAUUGCCUGUGUCGCGGCAAGCGACUUGUUUGCAGCGAUGAUUCACCUGGCAGUCGUCAAAUUUUUCUUUCAUCUUGACAAAGUCAAUUGGAGGAAACGACCCACCCCGAGUGGACCAGAUGGCCAGCUAUCGUCAGAUCAAAAUAGGUUGGUUUCCUACCGGAUAGUGCUGGAAUGGCCCCUACAGGGUGAAACUUUGGGCAGAGGCAAUCAGAAACCACUGCCAUCAUGUGUGGUCGAGACUAUGCGACAAAGAUAUCCUUCUGAGUCCGGUGUCUAUGUUGGAUUUCAAGAACUACAUGAGACAAUGGAUAUGUAGGCAUAUGACUGUUACUGGACAAUAUGUGCUGGGCCCUGAAUUCAGACCUAAAUUAUGUUUACAUGUUUCAUAGACAUCUGUGGGACAAUUGCACUGCAGCUUGCAUCAGAAUAGUUGAUCUGUUUGUAUAUUUUUCUAUAUUACAACCAUUAUGUAGAUGUCUUUCUAUCACUUUUUUUAUUUUCAAUUUCUUCAUUUGUAUUCAAUU